rnacentral:rRNA from 1 species
ACGUAGGGGGCAAGCGUUAUACGGAUUCACUGGGCGUAAAGGGAGCGCAGGCGGCACGGCAAGUCUGGUGUGAAAAUCCGGGGCUCAACCCCGGGACUGCAUUGGAAACUGCCGGGCUGGAGUGUCGGAGGGGUAAGCGGAAUUCCUAGUGUAGCGGUGAAAUGCGUAGAUAUUAGGAGGAACACCAGUGGCGAAGGCGGCUUACUGGACGAUGACUGACGCUGAGGCUCGAAAGCGUGGGGAGCAAA